CUUUUACAAUGAAGAGUUUGAUCCUGGCUCAGGAUGAACGCUAGCUACAGGCUUAACACAUGCAAGUCGAGGGGCAGCAUUUCAGUUUGCUUGCAAACUGGAGAUGGCGACCGGCGCACGGGUGAGUAACACGUAUCCAACCUGCCGAUAACUCGGGGAUAGCCUUUCGAAAGAAAGAUUAAUACCCGAUGGUAUAAUCAGACCGCAUGGUCUUGUUAUUAAAGAAUUUCGGUUAUCGAUGGGGAUGCGUUCCAUUAGGCAGUUGGUGAGGUAGCGGCUCACCAAACCUUCGAUGGAUAGGGGUUCUGAGAGGAAGGUCCCCCACAUUGGAACUGAGACACGGUCCAAACUCCUACGGGAGGCNAUUAUUAAAGAAUUUCGGUUAUCGAUGGGGAUGCGUUCCAUUAGGCAGUUGGUGAGGUAACGGCUCACCAAACCUUCGAUGGAUAGGGGUUCUGAGAGGAAGGUCCCCCACAUUGGAACUGAGACACGGUCCAAACUCCUACGGGAGGCAGCAGUGAGGAAUAUUGGUCAAUGGGCGCAGGCCUGAACCAGCCAAGUAGCGUGAAGGAUGACUGCCCUAUGGGUUGUAAACUUCUUUUAUAUGGGAAUAAAGUUUUCCACGUGUGGAAUUUUGUAUGUACCAUAUGAAUAAGGAUCGGCUAACUCCGUGCCAGCAGCCGCGGUAAUACGGAGGAUCCGAGCGUUAUCCGGAUUUAUUGGGUUUAAAGGGAGCGUAGGUGGACAGUUAAGUCAGUUGUGAAAGUUUGCGGCUCAACCGUAAAAUUGCAGUUGAUACUGGCUGUCUUGAGUACAGUAGAGGUGGGCGGAAUUCGUGGUGUAGCGGUGAAAUGCUUAGAUAUCACGAAGAACUCCGAUUGCGAAGGCAGCUCACUGGACUGCAACUGACACUGAUGCUCGAAAGUGUGGGUAUCAAACAGGAUUAGAUACCCUGGUAGUCCACACAGUAAACGAUGAAUACUCGCUGUUUGCGAUAUACAGUAAGCGGCCAAGCGAAAGCAUUAAGUAUUCCACCUGGGGAGUACGCCGGCAACGGUGAAACUCAAAGGAAUUGACGGGGGCCCGCACAAGCGGAGGAACAUGUGGUUUAAUUCGAUGAUACGCGAGGAACCUUACCCGGGCUUAAAUUGCAUUUGAAUAAUCUGGAAACAGGUUAGCCGCAAGGCAAAUGUGAAGGUGCUGCAUGGUUGUCGUCAGCUCGUGCCGUGAGGUGUCGGCUUAAGUGCCAUAACGAGCGCAACCCUUAUCUUUAGUUACUAACAGGUCAUGCUGAGGACUCUAGAGAGACUGCCGUCGUAAGAUGUGAGGAAGGUGGGGAUGACGUCAAAUCAGCACGGCCCUUACGUCCGGGGCUACACACGUGUUACAAUGGGGGGUACAGAAGGCAGCUACCUGGUGACAGGAUGCUAAUCCCAAAAGCCUCUCUCAGUUCGGAUCGAAGUCUGCAACCCGACUUCGUGAAGCUGGAUUCGCUAGUAAUCGCGCAUCAGCCAUGGCGCGGUGAAUACGUUCCCGGGCCUUGUACACACCGCCCGUCAAGCCAUGAAAGCCGGGGGUACCUGAAGUACGUAACCGCAAGGAGCGUCCUAGGGUAAAACUGGUAAUUGGGGCUAAGUCGUAACAAGGUAGCCGUACCGGAAGGUGCGGCUGGAACACCUCCUUUCU
rnacentral:rRNA from 1 species